GACGAACGCUGGCGGCGUGCUUAACACAUGCAAGUCGAACGGAAAGGCCCUGCUUUUGUGGGGUGCUCGAGUGGCGAACGGGUGAGUAACACGUGAGUAACCUGCCCUUGACUUUGGGAUAACUUCAGGAAAAUGGGGCUAAUACCGGAUAGGAGCUCCUGCUGCAUGGUGGGGGUUGGAAAGUUUCGGCGGUUGGGGAUGGACUCGCGGCUUAUCAGCUUGUUGGUGGGGUAGUGGCUUACCAAGGCUUUGACGGGUAGCCGGCCUGGGAGGGAGACCGGGUCCAUAGGCCUAGGGGAGCCGGCCGUACGGAUUCGGGAGGCAGCGGUGGGGACUUUUGCACAAUGGGCGGAGGCCUGAUGCAGCAUCGCCGCGUGCGGGAUGACGGCCUUCGGGUUGUAAACCGCUUUCGCCUGUGACGGAGCGUGAGUGACGGUAAUGGGUAAAGAAGCACCGGCUAACUACGU
rnacentral:rRNA from 1 species